AGCAGGACAUGGUUCUCAGAUAACCAGUCCAAUCCCAAGAUAAGAUCAAGACCGAUCAUCGGUAAGCAGAUUAAAUUAUGGAAAAAAUCACGCUGCUUGAACCUAAACGAAACUUUCGGGCAUCCUAGCCUAGUUAUCAUGGCCUCAUGGGUAGCAUUAUACACUUUUAAGUCAUAACCUAAGGUUACGAUCUUCAAUCCUAACUCAUGGGCUUUCUCAAAUGCAAUAAAUGAAUGUGAUGCUCCCGAAUCAAAUAAAGCAUUUAAAGUUUGACCAGCCAUUUCACAGUUACCUC
rnacentral:lncRNA from 1 species